rnacentral:rRNA from 1 species
CCUCCGGGCCGCAGCAGUGGGGAAUAUUGCCCAAUGGGGGAAACCCUGAUGCCGCGCCUCCUCUUUCUUGCCUCCUUCUUUCGGUAUGUAAAGCUCUAUCAGCAGGGAAGAAAAUGACGGUACCUGACUAAGAAGCCCCGGCUAACUACGUGCCAGCAGCCGCGGUAAUACGUAGGGGGCAAGCGUUAUCCGGAUUUACUGGGUGUAAAGGGAGCGUAGACGGCGCUGCAAGUCCGGAGUGAAAGCCCAUGGCUUAACCAUGGUAC